AUACACACACACCGCCCCCCGAAGACAUUACAUGCCAUUCACACUCAUAAUUGACAUUUGACAGUGAUUAGUCAAUAACACAAGCUGAUCCAUUUCUUUCCUUCUGACCUUUAUUAUAUACAAAAAUAUGACUGAGGUUGUCAGCAAGGCUCUAUGCACACGAAUAAUUGCAGCAGAAAUACACGCAAUGUAAUACGCAGUGCAAUGAUCUGUGCAUAAGCGGUACUAGCCUGGUCCCAGGUCUGUACGCGCUUUAGCCAACUCAGCUUCCUUUGCCGUCCCAUACAUGUCAGCUACAGGUUUACCAUCACACUGAACACUACAGGAGUGUAAGAUAAAGCACAUACAGCUUUAUGGACAGGGGCCUAUUGGAAAUGGAACCCUGUAUAGUGCACCACCUUUAGUCAUAGGGAGCAAUUUCAGAGGCAGACCCAAGCUAAAGCAGUACAGACUCAUUAGAAAUUAUUCUCUACAUGCCUUCAACAAAAACACUGAUACAAUCCAAUAGAACCACUAUAAAGUUCAUGGCAAAAAAAAACAUCUACACAGAUGCUGUUACUGCUGAAUGAAAUGAUAUACAUGCCAUAAAAGAAAAGCCUUCCGCAUCAAAUAAAUAAACUAUUGUUACACAUUUAGGAUUUAAAUGAUUUGUCCAUAUCUGUUAGUGGUGGUGAGGGAUUAAGAUGGUGUCUUGCUCUGCUUGAGAUGGCACACCUCACUCACCGGUCUCUCUUCCAGUCCAGCCAAAAUGAAAGCAGCUACACACACAAACAUUUCAGUCAGCAAAAUAUCUAUUUACAUAAAUAUAGUACACACACACACACACAUGCAGCCUUCUUAUGUCUGCCUUCUCCUCCUCAAUGACGAUUCAACCAUAAAUUAAGACAUUCAAUAACACUCAUAACAUAUGCCUCAGUUGUCACUCCACUUUCUACUAGUCAUAAAAAUAAAGUACCUAAUAUAGACAUUAUAUAUAAAUAUACACACAACAUUAACAAACACUCUGGUUUCACACAGAAAGCUUGUUUUAAAUUUAAGUUCGCAUCUACAACAGCAGGGAUUUUCAAGUGUCUGAUUCCCCAUUUAGUGUUUUCUAUAAGUAUGACAGAGACACUCUCUGGAGUCCAAGGCACUUCAGGCUGUAUCUGAACACACAAUCAAUUCCAAACCAUUAUUUUGUAACCUCUAUGUCUUCACUACAAGGACUGCACUUCUACCCACUGAUAGAGGGUAAGAGGUCAUUCUGUGGUCCAUAGCUUUGGUCCUUUAAGUCCUUUUUUUAAGUGUUAUUAUUUAUUGCUUUUGUGCUUAGCUGUUCGCUGUAGUUGUCCUUCCUGUUGUAGUUUGGAGGCUGUGUAGUAGUCAUUUCAGUUGUCGUUGUUUGUUAUCAUUUCUGUUGUCGUUGUUUGUUAUCAUUUCUGUUGUAAUGGUUGUUUUGCAGCUAUAAUUUAUUUUUAUGUAGUUGUGUAGUCCUACAGAAGCCUCUGGUUGAGAAUCUCCCAGAUCAUCAGUUUCCUGAACAGGGGCAUGUGGCACUGAGGAGAGUGAGAGACAGUGUGUGAGUGAAAAAGAGAUUGUACGAGUGUACACCGAGUGAGUAUGAUAGCCUGCGACUGCCUAUGUACCUGUCGGAAGGUGAGAGGCCACCCCUGGGCGAUGUAGUCAGCAUAUUUACAGGCAAACACUCCACAGUCACUGCCAUUCUUCUGCUGAGGGAUCUCCUACACACACACACACACACACACACACACACACACACACACGAAGGAUCCUGGUGAAAAGCAAAUCACUAGAGAACGGAUGCUAUUUCUGACAGCCCUAGACGCACUCUGUAUACAUUCAAGACAAAAUAAGAACAACAAAGAUGAUUAGAUAUGCAUUUCUGUCUGGGUAAUUUACACUGGCCCUCAAGCUGCCCACUGUCCACUUGCACUCGUCCAGAUCCUGGUCCUUCCUGGCCUUGUGCUCCUCUCUUAGGUACAGCCUGAAUAGGGUUGGACGAACCAAAUACAUGUAACAGGAUUACAGAAUGAAAUGACAAAAAAAGAUGGGCAUCAGAUUACAGGUACUUUUGUCAAACCAAAUGAUUACUGGAAGGGGACUGAGGACUCACAGUAAGAGGCUGCAGAUGUCGUCAUGUCUCUGUCCCAUAGAGUCAUAGGACCUCACGGUCCUGGAGUUAAAGUUUAUCACCUAGAGGGGGAAAGGGAAAUAAACAAAGUCCACAGGUAUCUACAAAUGACCACAGAGAAGGACCAGUGGACUUUCUAAAGCAGUGGUCACCAACCUUUUUUGAAUCACGAUCACUUUGAGUCAAAAUGCAAGCCAAGAUCUACCGCUCAGAUAUAUUUAUUUUUAACAUGACUUAAAAAAAAUGUAAGCCUAUGCAACAUUAACCAAUUAAAAACAAUUAUGUACCAAUGAGGGUUGUGCUAUAGUAGGCUAUAGGCCCAACACACCAUCACUGCAUAUUGGCUAUGCUUGAAUUGCUCUGCCAAUGUUCUUCAGACAUUUCAAACGUUUGUUUCAAAACAAGCGGAUCUACUCACGACCGGUCAUGCUGUAAACACAGUCCAGUUCAAAGUGAAUGGCACAGAUCCAUAUAUGGCAAUGGUCCAUUUGCAAAUAGGCCUGCUGCAUUGCUGAUUGGUUAUGCCGCACCAGUCUGUGUAGAGUAUGGGCUGAGUCGUGCGUGUCAAUGCAAUAGAAUCCUACUAUGACGCGUUCUGCCUACAACAAAAUCACUUGCAUAGUUAGUUUAGCAUAGUAAUAAGUCUUACAUAGUUCAUUGUGUGUUUCGGUGUGUUGCAUUGAAAGUGGCUAGUAUAGCAUUGAUUCAAUCACAAUUCCCACAGUAAAGGGAAACGUUGAUAGUGUAAACUCUAGAAAGUUGAGUGAAGUUCAAUCUCGUGCUUCUCUGCGCUGGCUGAUAUUUCAGCGUGCAGCUUAGAGGGAACAUUGCCUAUAGGGGUGCACUUGAUUUGCUCUAUGGGCCUACCCGGUAAGCAGAGAUCUACAUUCAAACACAUUAAAUGGUUCAAAAUGUGAACACAGCCUUGCCAGCACUAGGGCUGCCGAAUCAAGAGAGAAAUGUUUGGUGAUCGACUAGGAAUGCCUUGGUGAUCGACCAGUCGGCAGUGAUCGACCGGUUGGUGACCACUGUUCUAAAGUGAAUGAAGCCCCGUCAAUCUGGGGAGAUUUACAGCCAGUGACCAGUGGACUCCCAGGUGCAGCGGAACGAGGAUGAUGUCAUACUGGAAGAGGUCCACAGCUUUGGUCCAUCGCUUCACGGCGGCGUGCCCCCCUCCAUGUAGUUUGGGGAAGAAGAAAGUACUGAAGGAGUAGACCUUCAGCCCUUGCCCUGCACUACUGCUACGAGUCAUCACUAGGGACAGGUAGAAUCUUGCUGCUACCUCUGCAGAGAGAUCCAGCUCUGGCUGCUUCUGCUGGAGGGAGAGAGACUUUAUAACAACCUUAUAAUGCUUCAUAGCAGCCUUAUGACUCUUCCUAGCACCCUUACUACAGUUCAUAAGUGUGUCUCCUACCGUUGCAUUGCUGGCAGGUUGUGUGUCCACAGCUGCGCUGAGAGGCUUACUGAGACACAACUCUCCUCUCAUGUCUCUGGUUUGUUUGGCUGAGGAUGUAUCUCUCCACAUAUACACACUGGGGU
rnacentral:lncRNA from 1 species